AUCAUUAUACGUCACCUCACGGGCAUUUCGCUUUCUGACUCAUGCAAUAACUCCCGUGUUUGUUGGGUUUCGUGAGUACGCCGGUUGCAGUGCCUCCUGCUGGUUACAUGGGGGAUAACCGGCGCCCGUCACACAUACAUAAGCCAUGUGUGUGUGUUAGCCGAGGUACUGUAGUGAUGGUGAUGUCAUCCAUUAAGGACCAUGCUAAACAUGUGACAUCACAAGAUGGAGCUGCCAGCAGGGUGAUGCAUCCUGCUUCUGGUGUAUUCACAAAGCUAAGCACAGAGUCUCUGGAAGCAGUUCUAGGACUGGAAUGUGGCCGUGUACCUUGUAAUGCAAAAG